rnacentral:rRNA from 1 species
AACAGGAUCGUGAAACGCCUUUGCGCCGAUGAUAGUGGACGUACGUCUGUGAAAGUAGGUCAUCGUCAAGC